rnacentral:lncRNA from 1 species
AUAUAAAUAGGACUCAAUCAGAUGGCACCAAAACAUGGAGGGACCAAAUGAGAAAUUCACCCAAAGCAGCUAAACACGCGAUCCUCCUCGGGUCGGGUCGGUUCGCACGCGGGUCAGCACGAAACGGUGCCGUUUCAGCACCUGGGUUCCAAAGACUAAGCGGCGCCGUUUUAUUUGUUAUUAAAACAGAAAAAAAAUUCAUUUGAAUGGCAAUCUGCCAUUUUCUACAAAAAUCCAAACAAAUCCCUAACCCCCAUUCUUUUAUCGCUCAGUUGGCCGACAAAGGAACCCUCAGCUCCGUCCUCCACACACCACUGUGAUCGGUGAUAGACAUAGAGCGAAGGUCCAUCUCCUCCCCUUAAAACCAAGCUCAGAAGCCUUAAAAGUUUCCACCCCGGAGACCCCUCUUUGCUUCGAUUGCAACGAAGAAGAUGAGGCUCCGACGGUGCACUUGUGAAGGUAUAUCCCUCGCUUUUUUAUUUUUACACGCAAAGAAAGAAACAAAGAUUCAAGAAGAGAGAAAAAAAAUCGAAAGAAAGAGAUCCGAGAAUCACCUUUGAGAAUUUUUUUCUUUUUCUUUUUGGAUUGAUUUCUAUUCAAAUGUAUGCGUAAAAAAAUCCCUUUACACCGUUUUUAACCGGCUUUAUAUAGCCGAAAAUAAAAAUAAAAAUUUACAAAUUUUGAUUUUUUUUGCUCUCUUUGCUACUGUUAUUUUUUGCUGUUUGUUAUCCUUGUUGUAAUUUGCUGUCAAUCUAUGUUGCCGCUAUUCUGUUUUGCUACUAUGUACGGCGUGGAGAUGGCUGUUCGUGGGAGAGCUGCGGAUGUGGCCAUGACGCGCUGGAGAUCCCUGCUGAGGCAACUGCGGCGCUAGCCUUAGGGUUCCAGUUUCUGGAGCCGAAGAUCUGGGCCAUUCGGGCUCGUUUUAGAAGUGGGCUGUUGGGCCUUAUGAGUUUAGGUUUAGAAUCUGAAAAUUGGGUAGUUUAUUUUAGGCCAUAGUGGGCCAUUGUAACAUGGACUUGGACUUUGUUUUAUUAUUGGGCUUGUAUGGACUGUUUAUUAGUUUUUGUUUUUGUACAGGCCCGGGCAAAAAUGGGCCAUUACAAUACUGAUUGUCGAAUUGUCGAAUUAGCCAAAAUUUUAAAAAGAUUAACAGCUCAAUGACUUAAAUAAAAAUUUUCAAAUAGUAUAAUGAUAUUUUAUAAUAAGUGAUCAAAAUAUAAAUUUAUUAAUACUUUAAUAACUUUGGAUGAAAUUUACCCUAAUCAGAAAAAUGGUGAACGGGUGAGUAACCAUUGGGCUCAAGGCUUAUGGGCUUUUAUCUUAUUGAUUUCCAGAACAGAACCAAAGCAAGUAACCAGUGGCACCAAAAAGCCAUUUCUGAGCAUUUCAAUUUUUUUU